GGUGAGGUUUUAAGAAAACGGGAAAAAUCGGCCCUGAAAUUAAUUUAAAUUUAAAAGAAUAUGGAUUUAAAAUGGUGCUUAAUUAUAAAAUAAAGGAAAAUCAAAUUAUGGGCGACAAUGAUUAAAAAAUAAAUAUUUGAUAAUCCCACUCUAAGCAUUAAAACCCUCAUUUAUAACCGUUGACAUGUUCCCCUACGACUAUGUUCAUUGACUCUGGUACCAAACAAAACAAAAUAUGCAUUAAUAUAUCAU
rnacentral:lncRNA from 1 species